UAUCAGACCCUAAACCCACUUCCUCUCUCCCUAACUCACGCUAAUUAUUUCGCAAUUUCAUCUCCUCCCAAUUUCACUCCCAAUUUCGCUCUCUCUCAUCCAAAUUUGUAACAUAAACACUGCAAUGAGGGUUCUUAGCUAUGGGUGGAAUUUAGCUUUGUAAAAUUAAAUACCCAAUAGAUUCAUAAAGUAGCAGAAUCGUGGGGUCUCAAAAUCAGUUAGAAAUCAAUAGUUGAGAUUUUGCAAAGUGUAUUCGCAGAGACAAAAAGGUUGGGAUCUCUUUCUACCAUCAGCGUAUGUUUUCCUAUUUUUGGCUAGUUUCAGAUUUUCAUUUUUCUUUGUGAUUUUUGUUUGCAUGCACACAAAUUGGUGGUCUUACUUUUUUAUUUUAAUUUUAUAUGCAUUUUCUUUAUGAGAGUCUUUAAUUUAUUCAGUAACUACAAUUAGAAGCGAGUUUUCUGUUGGCAGAUUCUCCGGAAAAGAUCGAUUCCUUGAGCGUGUUCACAUAAUUAGUUUCUCAGUUAGCUUCAAUCGCGAGAAAUUAUUUUUCCAAAAGGCACACUGUGAGAAAUCGCUAGCUGAAGAAGUUG
rnacentral:lncRNA from 1 species